rnacentral:rRNA from 1 species
UUCUUCGGAUGAAGAGGAUUGUGACUGAGCGGCGGACGGGUGAGUAACGCGUGGGUAACCUGCCUCAUACAGGGGGAUAACAGUUAGAAAUGACUGCUAAUACCGCAUAAGACCACAGCACCGCAUGGUGCGGGGGUAAAAACUCCGGUGGUGUGAGAUGGACCCGCGUCUGAUUAGCUAGUUGGCAGGGCAACGGCCUACCAAGGCGACGAUCAGUAGCCGACCUGAGAGGGUGACCGGCCACAUUGGGACUGAGACACGGCCCAAACUCC